rnacentral:misc_RNA from 1 species
GUUGGAUGUGGGGGUUUUGUUGGCUUCUAUGAAGUCAGCUCCCCUCAAAUGUAUUAGCGGAAUGAUUUCCUGUUCAUUGGUGUGAUAAUUAUCUACGCUAUUGACAGGGGAUAACAGUUCAGCUUCUAAUAGUCCAUUGACUUGGACAAAAUUUUCAUUAAUGUGACCUCAAAUCAGGUAGGACUACCCGCUGAACUUAA